AGCCAAGGAUUGACUAGGGCAAACCCGGUAGAAAAGCCUACCGAAGCUUAAAACCUGUUACAAAACCGCCCAUUAGUUAAUCUCCGGCAUCUCCUCUGACCUUCGCGGGUGUGUUCUUUGCGACUUUCCGAAGGUGAAUUUGCCCACCUCCCAGCGUGGGUGCGAGUUGGGGCACGACCGAUUGCCAGCUGAACAUCACGAUUGGCCCGUUCGCGGACGAGCAUUGCCGGUGAGGCACGCGGAUUGGCCUCGUGGAGGAGAUUUGGCCCAUUUGAGCACCGCAACGCAACCUAGGACGCUCAAAUUGUAGGCCCGGUCGGCCAUCUUGCGAAUAUUGUUGUCCAAUUGUCGUUUGGAGGCAACAAAACCAUCGAAACACGUGCUCGCCAUCGUACAAAAGUGUGAACACGCGGUGAUUUCGAGUGCUUGACGACCACUGACUGCGAGCGACCAGCCGAUACGCUCAUUUUCCGGCUUUGC